rnacentral:tRNA from 1 species
GGGGGUGGGGGAUAUGCUCAGUGGUAGAGCAUCUGCUUAGCAUGCAAAACAUCCUGGGUUCAACCCUGGCAUCUGCA